rnacentral:rRNA from 1 species
UUAAGCGACUAAGCGUACACGGUGGAUGCCCUGGCAGUCAGAGGCGAUGAAGGGCGUGCUAAUCUGCGAUAAGCGCCGGUAAGGUGAUAUGAACCGUUAUAACCGGCGAUACCCGAAUGGGGAAACCCAGUGUGACUCGUCACACUAUCAUUAACUGAAUCCAUAGGUUAAUGAGGCGAACCGGGGGAACUGAAACAUCUAAGUACCCCGAGGAAAAGAAAUCAACCGAGAUUCCCCCAGUAGCGGCGAGCGAACGGGGAGGAGCCCAGAGCCUGAAUCAGCAUGUGUGUUAGUGGAAGCGUCUGGAAAGGCGCGCGAUACAGGGUGACAGCCCCGUACACAAAAGCGCAUGUGCUGUGAGCUCGAUGAGUAGGGCGGGACACGUGGUAUCCUGUCUGAAUAUGGGGGGACCAUCCUCCAAGGCUAAAUACUCCUGACUGACCGAUAGUGAACCAGUACCGUGAGGGAAAGGCGAAAAGAACCCCGGCGAGGGGAGUGAAAAAGAACCUGAAACCGUGUACGUACAAGCAGUGGGAGCACAGGUUUACCUGUGUGACUGCGUACCUUUUGUAUAAUGGGUCAGCGACUUAUAUUCUGUAGCAAGGUUAACCGAAUAGGGGAGCCGGAGGGAAACCGAGUCUUAAUUGGGCGUUAAGUUGCAGGGUAUAGACCCGAAACCCGGUGAUCUAGCCAUGGGCAGGUUGAAGGUUGGGUAACACUAACUGGAGGACCGAACCGACUAAUGUUGAAAAAUUAGCGGAUGACCUGUGGCUGGGGGUGAAAGGCCAAUCAAACCGGGAGAUAGCUGGUUCUCCCCGAAAGCUAUUUAGGUAGCGCCUCGUGAAUUCAUCUCCGGGGGUAGAGCACUGUUUCGGCUAGGGGGCCAUCCCGGCUUACCAACCCGAUGCAAACUGCGAAUACCGGAGAAUGUUAUCACGGGAGACACACGGCGGGUGCUAACGUCCGUCGUGAAGAGGGAAACAACCCAGACCGCCAGCUAAGGUCCCAAAGUCAUGGUUAAGUGGGAAACGAUGUGGGAAGGCCCAGACAGCCAGGAUGUUGGCUUAGAAGCAGCCAUCAUUUAAAGAAAGCGUAAUAGCUCACUGGUCGAGUCGGCCUGCGCGGAAGAUGUAACGGGGCUAAACCAUGCACCGAAGCUGCGGCAGCGACACUGUGUGUUGUUGGGUAGGGGAGCGUUCUGUAAGCCUGUGAAGGUGGCCUGUGAGGGUUGCUGGAGGUAUCAGAAGUGCGAAUGCUGACAUAAGUAACGAUAAAGCGGGUGAAAAGCCCGCUCGCCGGAAGACCAAGGGUUCCUGUCCAACGUUAAUCGGGGCAGGGUGAGUCGACCCCUAAGGCGAGGCCGAAAGGCGUAGUCGAUGGGAAACAGGUUAAUAUUCCUGUACUUGGUGUUACUGCGAAGGGGGGACGGAGAAGGCUAUGUUGGCCGGGCGACGGUUGUCCCGGUUUAAGCGUGUAGGUGUGUGUUCCAGGUAAAUCCGGUUCACUUUAACACUGAGGCGUGAUGACGAGGCACUACGGUGCUGAAGCAACAAAUGCCCUGCUUCCAGGAAAAGCCUCUAAGCAUCAGGUAACAUCAAAUCGUACCCCAAACCGACACAGGUGGUCAGGUAGAGAAUACCAAGGCGCUUGAGAGAACUCGGGUGAAGGAACUAGGCAAAAUGGUGCCGUAACUUCGGGAGAAGGCACGCUGACACGUAGGUGAAGUGAUUUACUCAUGGAGCUGAAGUCAGUCGAAGAUACCAGCUGGCUGCAACUGUUUAUUAAAAACACAGCACUGUGCAAACACGAAAGUGGACGUAUACGGUGUGACGCCUGCCCGGUGCCGGAAGGUUAAUUGAUGGGGUCAGCGCAAGCGAAGCUCCUGAUCGAAGCCCCGGUAAACGGCGGCCGUAACUAUAACGGUCCUAAGGUAGCGAAAUUCCUUGUCGGGUAAGUUCCGACCUGCACGAAUGGCGUAAUGAUGGCCAGGCUGUCUCCACCCGAGACUCAGUGAAAUUGAACUCGCUGUGAAGAUGCAGUGUACCCGCGGCAAGACGGAAAGACCCCGUGAACCUUUACUAUAGCUUGACACUGAACAUUGAGCCUUGAUGUGUAGGAUAGGUGGGAGGCUUUGAAGUGUGGACGCCAGUCUGCAUGGAGCCGACCUUGAAAUACCACCCUUUAAUGUUUGAUGUUCUAACGUGGACCCGUAAUCCGGGUUGCGGACAGUGUCUGGUGGGUAGUUUGACUGGGGCGGUCUCCUCCUAAAGAGUAACGGAGGAGCACGAAGGUUGGCUAAUCCUGGUCGGACAUCAGGAGGUUAGUGCAAUGGCAUAAGCCAGCUUGACUGCGAGCGUGACGGCGCGAGCAGGUGCGAAAGCAGGUCAUAGUGAUCCGGUGGUUCUGAAUGGAAGGGCCAUCGCUCAACGGAUAAAAGGUACUCCGGGGAUAACAGGCUGAUACCGCCCAAGAGUUCAUAUCGACGGCGGUGUUUGGCACCUCGAUGUCGGCUCAUCACAUCCUGGGGCUGAAGUAGGUCCCAAGGGUAUGGCUGUUCGCCAUUUAAAGUGGUACGCGAGCUGGGUUUAGAACGUCGUGAGACAGUUCGGUCCCUAUCUGCCGUGGGCGCUGGAGAACUGAGGGGGGCUGCUCCUAGUACGAGAGGACCGGAGUGGACGCAUCACUGGUGUUCGGGUUGUCAUGCCAAUGGCACUGCCCGGUAGCUAAAUGCGGAAGAGAUAAGUGCUGAAAGCAUCUAAGCACGAAACUUGCCCCGAGAUGAGUUCUCCCUGAGACUUAGAGUCUCCUGAAGGAACGUUGAAGACGACGACGUUGAUAGGCCGGGUGUGUAAGCGCAGCGAUGCGUUGAGCUAACCGGUACUAAUGAACCGUGAGGCUUAACC